GAUUGACCUCGGAUCAGGUAGGGAUACCCGCUGAACUUAAGCAUAUCAAUAAGCGGAGGAAAAGAAACCAACAGGGAUUGCCUCAGUAACGGCGAGUGAAGCGGCAACAGCUCAAAUUUGAAAUCUGGCUCCCUCGGGGCCCGAGUUGUAAUUUGCAGAGGACGUUUCGGGUGCGGCCCGGUCUAAGUCCCUUGGAACAGGGCGUCAUAGAGGGUGAGAAUCCCGUAUGUGACCGGUGACCAACCCCAUGUGAAACCCCUUCGACGAGUCGAGUUGUUUGGGAAUGCAGCUCAAAAUGGGUGGUAAAUUCCAUCUAAAGCUAAAUACUGGCCAGAGACCGAUAGCGCACAAGUAGAGUGAUCGAAAGAUGAAAAGCACUUUGGAAAGAGAGUCAAACAGUACGUGAAAUUGUUGAAAGGGAAGCGCUGGCAACCAGACCUGCCCCGGGCGAUCAGCGGGUGUUCUCACCCGUGCACUCGCCCGCGAUCAGGCCAGCAUCGGUUUCGGCGGUCGGAUACAGACCCGGGGAACGUGGCUCUCUUCGGGGAGUGUUAUAGCCCCGGGUGCAAUGCGGCCAGCCGGGACCGAGGACCGCGCUUCGGCUAGAUGCUGGCGUAAU
rnacentral:rRNA from 1 species